rnacentral:rRNA from 1 species
UACGUAGGCAGCAAGCGUUGUUCGGAGUUACUGGGCGUAAAGGGUGCGUAGGCGGUCCUGUAAGUAUGGUGUGAAAUCUCCCGGCUUAACUGGGAGGGUGCGCUAUAGACUGCGGGACUAGAGGGUGGGAGAGGAAAGUGGAAUUCCUGGUGUAGCGGUGAAAUGCGUAGAUAUCAGGAGGAACACCGGUGGUGUAAACGGCUUUCUGGACCAUUUCUGACGCUGAGGCACGAAAGCGUGGGGAGCGAACAGG